AAACCAGCACCUCAAGUGGUCAGGAUGAUUAUUGGGCCUAAAGCAUCCGUAGCCGGCUCUGUAAGUUUUCGGUUAAAUCUGUACGCUCAACGUACAGGCUGCCGGAAAUACUGCAGAGCUAGGGAGUGGGAGAGGUAGACGGUACUCGGGAGGAAGGGGUAAAAUCCUUUGAUCUUUCGAUGACCACCUGUGGCGAAGGCGGUCUACCAGAACAUGUCCGACGGUGAGGGAUGAAAGCUGGGGGAGCAAACCGGAUUAGAAACCCCUGUAGUCC
rnacentral:rRNA from 1 species